rnacentral:rRNA from 1 species
GAGUUUGAUCCUGGCUCAGGAUGAACGCUGGCGGUAUGCUUAACACAUGCAAGUCGAACGGGGCUCUUCGGAGUUCAGUGGCGGACGGGUGAGUAACGCGUGAGAAUCUGGCCUCAGGCUCGGGACAACCACUGGAAACGGUGGCUAAUACCGGAUGUGCCUAUGGGUGAAAGAUUAAUUGCCUGAGGAUGAGCUCGCGUCUGAUUAGCUAGUUGGUGGGGUAAAGGCCUACCAAGGCGGCGAUCAGUAGCUGGUCUGAGAGGACGAUCAGCCACACUGGGACUGAGACACGGCCCAGACUCCUACGGGAGGCAGCAGUGGGGAAUUUUCCGCAAUGGGCGAAAGCCUGACGGAGCAAUACCGCGUGAGGGAGGAAGGCUCUUGGGUUGUAAACCUCUUUUCUCAGGGAAGAAAACUGACGGUACCUGAGGAAUAAGCAUCGGCUAACUCCGUGCCAGCAGCCGCGGUAAUACGGAGGAUGCAAGCGUUAUCCGGAAUUAUUGGGCGUAAAGCGUCCGCAGGUGGCAGUGCAAGUCUGCUGUCAAAGACUGGGGCUUAACCCUGGAAAGGCAGUGGAAACUGCACAGCUAGAGUGCGGUAGGGGCAGAGGGAAUUCCCAGUGUAGCGGUGAAAUGCGUAGAGAUUGGGAAGAACACCGGUGGCGAAAGCGCUCUGCUGGGCCGCAACUGACACUCAUGGACGAAAGCUAGGGGAG